UCCUAGAAUUGACGGGUUUAG
rnacentral:snRNA from 1 species